UACAGAGGUCUCAAGCGUUUGUUCGGAUUCAUUGGGCGUAAAGGGUGUGUAGGUGGCGCGCUAAGUCGGGUGUGAAAUUUCGGAGCUUAACUCCGAAACUGCAUUCGAUACUGGCGUGCUUGAGGACUGGAGAGGAGACUGGAAUUCAUGGUGUAGCAGUGAAAUGCGUAGAGAUCAUGAGGAAGACCAGUGGCGAAGGCGGGUCUCUGGACAAGUUCCUGACACUGAGACACGAAGGCCAGGGGAGCAAAACGGGG
rnacentral:rRNA from 1 species